rnacentral:SRP_RNA from 1 species
UGGCGGGCAAGCUGGGGAGUUAGCCCUUCCCUGUAACCACAAAUGGGCUUUACGGUGGAGCUUGUUCCAAGGGAAGGGGUUGUUGCUAUACUUCAGUCCUGCUGUUUGACAGUGAUUCCCUGUCCUGUAGGACUUUCCUCACUGAGAACCUGGUCAGGUCCGGGAGGAAGCAGCCAUAAUCAGUGGGGAAGGUGUCUACAGGGUAGCGGGGUUGAGGAGACUGCAGGGUCGCUGUUGUAUAGUAGCAGCCUCAACCCUUGGACGCCCGCCA